rnacentral:rRNA from 1 species
UAGGGAAUCUUCGGCAAUGGACGAAAGUCUGACCGAGCAACGCCGCGUGAGUGAAGAAGGUUUUCGGAUCGUAAAACUCUGUUGUUAGAGAAGAACAAGGACGUUAGUAACUGAACGUCCCCUGACGGUAUCUAACCAGAAAGCCACGGCUAACUACGUGCCAGCAGCCGCGGUAAUACGUAGGUGGCAAGCGUUGUCCGGAUUUAUUGGGCGUAAAGCGAGCGCAGGCGGUUUCUUAAGUCUGAUGUGAAAGCCCCCGGCUCAACCGGGGAGGGUCAUUGGAAACUGAGAGACUUGAGUGCAGAAGAGGAGAGUGGAAUUCCAUGUGUGGCGAUGAAAUGCGUAGAUAUAUGGAGGAACAACAGUGGAGAAGGCGGCUCUCUGGACUGUAACUGACGCUGAGGAACGAAAGAGUGGGGAGCAAACAGG